rnacentral:tRNA from 1 species
CAGAAAAAGAGGACUCAAACCUCUAUCUCCAACUCCCAAAGCUGGUAUUUUAUACUAAACUAUUCUCUG